CAGUCGCCGCGGGAAUACAGAGGAUGCAAGCGUUAUCCGGAAUGAUUGGGCGUAAAGGGCUCGCAGGCGGUUUCUUAAGUCUGAUGUGAAAGCCCCCGGCUCAACCGGGGAGGGUCAUUGGAAACUGGGAAACUUGAGUGCAGAAGAGGAGAGUGGAAUUCCACGUGUAGCGGUGAAAUGCGUAGAGGUGUGGAGGAACACCAGUGGCGAAGGCGACUCUCUGGUCUGUAACUGACGCUGAGGAGCGAAAGCGUGGGGAGCGAACAGGAUUAGAGACCCCCGUAGUCCCUGUCUCUUAUAC
rnacentral:rRNA from 1 species